rnacentral:pre_miRNA from 1 species
GUAGCUAUCAAAUAUGUGUGCAUAUAUUUGAUUGCACACAUACUUAGUAGCUAGAU